AAUCCGGUUGAUCCUGCCGGACCUGACUGCUAUCGGAUUGGUACUAAGCCAUGCGAGUCAUUGUAGCAAUACAAGGCGGACGGCUCAGUAACACGUAGUCAACCUAACUCGUGGACGUGGAUAACCUCGGGAAACUGAGAAUAAACCACGAUAGAUCAUAGUGCCUGGAAUGGCUUAUGGUCCAAACAGUUUACUGCCAUGGGAUGGGACUGCGGCCUAUCAGCUUGUUGGUGAGGUAAUGGCCCACCAAGGCGAUUACAGGUACGGGCUCUGAGAGGAGAAGCCCGGAGAUGGGUACUGAGACACGGACCCAGGCCCUAUGGGGCGCAGCAGGCGAGAAACCUUAGCAAUGUGCGAAAGCACGACUGGGUCAGUCCGAGUGAUUCCUGAUAAAGGAGUCUUUUGCUUGUCCUAAAAGCACAGGUGAAUAAGGGGUGGGCAAGUCUGGUGUCAGCCGCCGCGGUAAUACCAGCACCUCGAGUGGUCAGGACGUUUAUUGGGCCUAAAGCAUCCGUAGCCGGCUUUGCAAGUCUUCGGUUAAAUCCACCUGCUCAACAGAUGGGCCGCUGGAGAUACUACAGAGCUAGGGA
rnacentral:rRNA from 1 species